rnacentral:rRNA from 1 species
UACAGAGGUCUCAAGCGUUGUUCGGAUUCAUUGGGCGUAAAGGGUGCGUAGGCGGCGCCGUAAGUCAGGUGUGAAAUUUCGGAGCUUAACUCCGAAACUGCAUUUGAUACUGCGGUGCUUGAGGACUGGAGAGGAGACUGGAAUUUACGGUGUAGCAGUGAAAUGCGUAGAGAUCGUAAGGAAGACCAGUGGCGAAGGCGGGUCUCUGGGCAGUUCCUGACGCUGAGGCACGAAGGCCAGGGGAGCAAACGGG